rnacentral:rRNA from 1 species
CAGCUAGUUGGUGGGGUAAAAGCCUACCAAGGCUGCGAUCGGUAGCUGGUCUGAGAGGACGAUCAGCCACACUGGGAUUGAGAACGGCCCAGACUCCUACGGGGGGCAGCAGUGAGGAAUUUUCGGCAAUGGGGGCAACCCUGACCGAGCAACGCCGCGUGCAGGACGAAGGUCUUCGGAUCGUAAACUGCCUUUCUCUGGGAAGAGCGAGGACGGUACCAGAGGAAGAAGCCCCGGCUAACUACGUGCCAGCAGCCGCGGUAAUACGUAGGGGGCGAGCGUUGUCCGGAGUUACUGGGCGUAAAGGGCAUGUAGGCGGUCCGAUCAGUUUGGGGUUACAGCUCCCGGCUCAACUGGGAGAGCGCCUCGAAGACGGUGGGACUUGAGAGCCAGAGAGGGACACAGAAUUCCGGGUGUAGUGGUGAAAUGCGUAGAUAUCCGGAGGAAUACCAAGGCGAAGGCAGUGUCCUGGCUGAUUUCUGACGCUGAGGUGCGAAAGCUAGGGGAGCGAACGGGAUUAGAUACCCCGGUAGUCCUAGCCGUAAACGAUGACCACUAGGUGUGCGGGGUAUCGACCCCCUGCGUGCCG